GCCUACGACCAUACCAUCUGAAUAUACGGUUCUCGUCGAUCACCGAGAGUCAAGCAGCGUAGGGCCUUGGUUAGUACUUGGAUGGGAGCCGCCUGGGGAUACCGGGUGUUGUAGGCA
rnacentral:rRNA from 1 species